rnacentral:rRNA from 1 species
GACGAACGCUGGCGGCGUGCCUAACACAUGCAAGUCGAACGGGGUUAAUUCCUUCGGGGAUUAACUUAGUGGCGAACGGGUGAGUAACGCGUGAGAAACCUGCCUUUCAGUGGGGGACAACAGUUGGAAACGACUGCAAAUACCGCAUAAUGUGCUUAGGGGGCAUCCCCUGAGUACCAAAGCUUUAUGUGCUGAAAGAUGGCCUCGCGUCUGAUUAGAUAGUUGGUGGGGUAACGGCCUACCAAGUCGACGAUCAGUAGCCGGUCUGAGAGGAUGAACGGCCACAUUGGGACUGAGAUACGGCCCAGACUCCUACGGGAGGCAGCAGUGGGGAAUAUUGGGCAAUGGGGGGAACCCUGACCCAGCAACGCCGCGUGAAGGAAGAAGGCCCUUCGGGUUGUAAACUUCUUUUAGCAGGGACGAAGAACGUGACGGUACCUGCAGAAAAAGCAACGGCUAACUACGUG